rnacentral:rRNA from 1 species
GAUGAACGCUGGCGGCGUGCCUAAUACAUGCAAGUCGAGCGAACGGACGAGAAGCUUGCUUCUCUGAUGUUAGCGGCGGACGGGUGAGUAACACGUGGAUAACCUACCUAUAAGACUGGGAUAACUUCGGGAAACCGGAGCUAAUACCGGAUAAUAUUUUGAACCGCAGGGUUCAAAAGUGAAAGACGGUCUUGCGGUCACUUAUAGAUGGAUCCGCGCUGCAUUAGCUAGUUGGUAAGGUAACGGCUUACCAAGGCAACGAUGCGUAGCCGACCUGAGAGGGUGAUCGGCCACACUGGAACUGAGACGCGGUCCAGACUCCUACGGGAGGCAGCAGUAGGGAAUCUUCCGCAAUGGGCGAAAGCCUGACGGAGCAACGCCGCGUGAGUGAUGAAGGUCUUCGGAUCGUAAAACUCUGUUAUUAGGGAAGAACAUAUGUGUAAGUAACUGUGCACAUCUUGACGGUACCUAAUCAGAAAGCCACGGCUAACUACGUG